ACAACUAGUGCCAGACGAAGCUUGCUUUCACCCUAGAAGAGAAGAUCUCUCAGAGUUGGAGAUGGCAAUUUCCAGUCCUAAGAAAUGGAUUCUAACCUGUAAAUCCUACCCACUCUCGAGGACUCUUGAAGUGCCCUGGUUCUGGCAGUGGGAAGAAGACCCUGUCCACACUAGUCCCCCUCACUUGCACAGAGGGGGACCCCAGACAAUUUAACCUUAGACAAAACCUGAAGUGCACUCAGGAGACAUAGCAAGGAGAACAUGCUGGUCUGAACAUCGCAAGGAUAUUUGAAGUUCUGGAAAGCUACCCUAACUCGCCUGGAGGAGACAAAAGGGAUAGUGAACACAUGGGAAAAAAACAUCUUCCCCUGACCCCUCCGUAGAUUGGCUCCCUGAAGAAGCAGCAUGAAAGGGGUAAUUAUUUACAGUUUCUGAGGUAGGAUUCCCAAAGUAUGGAGUUUAUGACAAUGCUGAGUACAAAUACCAGAUCAGUCUCACGGCCAGUAAUUCUGUCAUACCAUAAGCCCGUGUUACACAGUACAGCAAAAUAAUAACCCUGUACCAACCCCCAGAAGUGAUAAGCAAUAUGACAGGGAACACACUAAGUAAUGUGCUAUGUAACUCAAUUUGGAAAACUGGCACAGCAGACUUGAGAUCACAAAAAGCAGCAUUGUGAUUAGGAACUAUUAAACUGAUGUAAUGCUUAGAAAAAUCUUGUUUUAACACACACUAGUCAGAUCUGUUGUUAUCUCAACCCUUCUGGCCCCACGUUGGGCGGCAAAAAAGGACUGUUGUGGUUUAACCCAGUUGCCAGCUAAGCACCACACAGCUGUUCACUCAUCCUCCACCCUCCCUCUCUGGGAUUGGGGAGAGAAACAGGAAAGUGAAGCUUGUGGGUUUAGAUUGAGACAGUUUAUUAGAACAGAAAAUAAUAAUAAUAAUAGUACUACUACUAAUGAUGCAUACAAAACAAGUGAUACACACUGACUGAUGCCCAGCCUAUCCCCGAGCAGUCAGUCCCCCCCACCCCAGCUAGCCACCCCUAUAUAUUGUUCAGCAUGAAUUCAGAUGGUAUGGAAUACCCCUUUGGCCAGUUUGGGUCAGCUGUCCUGGGUCUGUCCCCUCCCAGCUCCUGCUG
rnacentral:lncRNA from 1 species